AUUGAACGCUGGCGGCAGGCCUAACACAUGCAAGUCGAACGCGUGGCGGACGGGUGAGUAAUGUCUGGGAAACUGCCUGAUGGAGGGGGAUAACUACUGGAACCGGUAGCUAAUACCGCAUACCAUCAGAUGUGCCCAGAUUGGAUUGGCCAGUUGGUGGGGUAACGGCUCACCAAGGCGACGAUCCCUAGCUGGUCUGAGAGGAUGACCAGCCACACUGGAACUGAGACACGGUCCAGACUCCUACGGGAGGCAGCAGUGGGGAAUAUUGCGCAAUGGGCGCAAGCCUGAUGGAGCAAUGCCGCGUGAAUGAAGAAGGCCUUCGGGUUGUAAAGUACUUUCAUCGGGGAGGCGUUACCCGCAGAGGAAGCACCGGCUAACUCCGUGCCAGCAGCCGCGGUAAUAC
rnacentral:rRNA from 1 species